UUCUCCUGGAAACGGGUGGUAAUGCCGGAUGUUCCACAUGAUCGCAUGUGAUUGUGGGAAAGAUUCUAUCGGCGUGGGAUGGGGUCGCGUCCUAUCAGCUUGUUGGUGAGGUAACGGCUCACCAAGGCUUCGACGGGUAGCCGGCCUGAGAGGGCGACCGGCCACAUUGGGACUGAGAUACGGCCCAGACUCCUACGGGAGGCAGCAGUGGGGAAUAUUGCACAAUGGGCGCAAGCCUGAUGCAGCGACGCCGCGUGAGGGAUGGAGGCCUUCGGGUUGUAAACCUCUUUUGUUUGGGAGCAAGCCUUCGGGUGAGUGUACCUUUCGAAUAAGCGCCGGCUAACUACGUGCCAGCAGCCGCGGUAAUACGUAGGGCGCAAGCGUUAUCCGGAUUUAUUGGGCGUAAAGGGCUCGUAGGCGGCUCGUCGCGUCCGGUGUGAAAGUCCAUCGCUUAACGGUGGAUCUGCGCCGGGUACGGGCGGGCUGGAGUGCGGUAGGGGAGACUGGAAUUCCCGGUGUAACGGUGGAAUGUGUAGAUAUCGGGAAAGAACACC
rnacentral:rRNA from 1 species